UGGGGUCGCGGUAGUUCAGCAGCAGCGCCACCGCCAGGCCGAGCAUGAACACAUAGCCGGCCGGCAGCAGCCCGGCGACCAGCGUGGCCAGCACCGCCAGGAACAGCGCCGCAUUGGCCCAGAGCAGAUGCGGCCGUUCCAGCGCCGCCUCCGCGGCGCUGGGCGCGCCGGCCUCGGCCGCGG
rnacentral:rRNA from 1 species